GUUGGGCAUGGUAGUACACACCUGUAGUGCCAGUUACUCGGGAGGCCAAGAGAGGAUGUUCGCACAGAGCCCAGCAGUUUUGGGAUACGGUGCGCUAUGCUGAUUGGGUGACCACAUUAAGUUUGGCUUCAAUAUGGUGACCUCUCAGGCACAAAGGACCACCAGGUUGUCUAAGGAAAGGUGAACCCAGGCUGGAAACAGCAGAUCAAAAUUCCCAUGCUAAUCAGUAGUGGGAUUGUGCCUGUGAAUAGACAGGCACCCCAGCCUGUAAAACAGUGAGACUCAUCUCUUA
rnacentral:SRP_RNA from 1 species